rnacentral:rRNA from 1 species
GCGUGACGGCGCGAGCAGGUGCGAAAGCAGGUCAUAGUGAUCCGGUGGUUCUGAAUGGAAGGGCCAUCGCUCAACGGAUAAAAGGUACUCCGGGGAUAACAGGCUGAUACCGCCCAAGAGUUCAUAUCGACGGCGGUGUUUGGCACCUCGAUGUCGGCUCAUCACAUCCUGGGGCUGAAGUAGGUCCCAAGGGUAUGGCUGUUCGCCAUUUAAAGUGGUACGCGAGCUGGGUUUAGAACGUCGUGAGACAGUUCGGUCCCUAUCUGCCGUGGGCGCUGGAGAACUGAGGGGGGCUGCUCCUAGUACGAGAGGACCGGAGUGGACGCAUCACUGGUGUUCGGGUUGUCAUGCCAAUGGCACUGCCCGGUAGCUAAAUGCGGAAGAGAUAAGUGCUGAAAGCAUCUAAGCACGAAACUUGCCCCGAG